rnacentral:rRNA from 1 species
GCACAGUAAGAGCUUGCUCUUAUGGGUGGCGAGUGGCGGACGGGUGAGGAAUACAUCGGAAUCUACUUUUUCGUGGGGGAUAACGUAGGGAAACUUACGCUAAUACCGCAUACGACCUUCGGGUGAAAGCAGGGGACCUUCGGGCCUUGCGCGAUUGAAUGAGCCGAUGUCGGAUUAGCUAGUUGGCGGGGUAAAGGCCCACCAAGGCGACGAUCCGUAGCUGGUCUGAGAGGAUGAUCAGCCACACUGGAACUGAGACACGGUCCAGACUCCUACGGGAGGCAGCAGUGGGGAAUAUUGGACAAUGGGCGCAAGCCUGAUCCAGCCAUACCGCGUGGGUGAAGAAGGCCUUCGGGUUGUAAAGCCCUUUUGUUGGGAAAGAAAAGCAGCGGGCUAAUACCUUGCUGUUCUGACGGUACCCAAAGAAUAAGCACCGGCUAACUUCGUGCCAGCAGCCGCGGUAAUACGAAGGGUGCAAGCGUUACUCGGAAUUACUGGGCGUAAAGCGUGCGUAGGUGGUCGUUUAAGUCUGUUGUGAAAGCCCUGGGCUCAACCUGGGAACUGCAGUGGAAACUGGACGACUAGAGUGUGGUAGAGGGUAGCGGAAUUCCCGGUGUAGCAGUGAAAUGCGUAGAGAUCGGGAGGAACAUCCAUGGCGAAGGCAGCUACCUGGACCAACACUGACACUGAG